GCCGUUGUCGCACCCGGAGCUCCGUGUUCCUCGGGGCGCGCGGGGCUCCACACGCCGGGUGUCGCGGUGGAGGGAGGUUCGCACCCCGGUCCAGCGCGGACGGGACCCUGCGGGGUUGGCCACAUCCCCUCAUUCCCGCUGCCGUCACAUGCCCGGUGCCAUGACUGAAACCCAAAAACAGCCGCUGUGGGCUGUGGCUGCCCCUGGACACCACUCCCGGACCGUGGCAGGCGUGCUGGGAGCAGGUGCGGCAGGAUUUGGCUCCAGGAUGGUUUGAUAAGGAGCUGCUGGAAAAUGCCAGAGACCUGGAGAGCUUCUGCUUGCUUCCUGCUGGGAGCAGAGUCUGAGGAAACAAGAAGGGACUGAAGCAUUGCAGAGCUGUCCAUGCUCGCACCGUGGGGCGGCACCGUCCCUCCACCAAAACCUCAGACACAAAACCUCGCAGUUCCAGAACAGAGACGACGCCUCGUGGAGAGGAUGUCAUUGUCAACACCUGACAGUGUCCUGCUCACCGCCCCAGCCACCGUGUCUGGAAUGAGGGAAAAAGUAAAAUCUGCCACAGCAACAGAGCAGCAAGGGAGGGGCACCUUUCCUGAGGGAAAACUCAACAUGUGAACCAAAAGAGAGGGAAAAAGGAAGGAAAAGGAGAAAAACAGAAGGAAGAAUGAGACUCUUGUCUUUUGCCAUGAGGGAGCUGCAUCGCAGGGAUGCUCAGGGCACCCAGAGCCUGGUGCUGUGUCGGGGGGUUCAGUCCAAGGAGGAAGGUGCAGCUGAAGUCAGCGAUGCUCGGAUGCGUUGUGUCAUUUCCCAGCUUUAAUAGGCGGAAGCGAAACAAGAAGGGAAAUUAAUACAACGCAGCCGGUAACUCCCGGUUCUUCCCUGAACAAUGCCUCGUGCCCAGGAGACUCGUGGGAUUCCUGCGGAAGAGGCUGCAGGGGACAUUGUUUGGAGUUUUCCUUGCAGGAGAUGUGAAGAUGGAUGGAAAAGCCAAGCCCUCAUGGCAGCAGUGCCCAGCACUCCCUGCAGCACCACCAGUCCACAGGGAGGUGGAAUGAGCUGCCCGUCCCAUGAGAAUCUGGAGGGAGCGGCUUUGGAGUCGUCCAGGCUGUUGUUGCUGGCUGAUGGAAUUUUUUAGUCUAAAUAAAGUUUUCCUGCUCUUCCCA